ensembl:lncRNA
GGCACUCAAGCUAACAGACGCACACACAAAUAGACGAGAGCUAAAUCAAACGGAGCUUUUUGUUGCAAAAUCAUGAGUCAUGAGCUUCCUCGUGUUGGCAACGCACCACACCACCCUCGGGGGCUUUUUAGUGCGAGGCCUUCCAACAACACCGCAAAGCUGGGCAUUAAAAAAGGAGUCCGUAGUGCCAGACUCGCAGGUGGAAAUGUGCAGCAAAGACCAGCCGGGAUCCCGCUGAGGCAGAAAAAAAGGAUGGUCGGACGCGGCUGCUGUGGGUGUUUCUCUGGCAGUGUCUUAGCUGGUUGUUGUGAGGAGUGAGAACGAAGCAAUCAGCAAGUAUACUGCCGCAGAAAUUCUUCGCAAUAAGAGGCCCUGGGAUCAUCGGCGUCACACGGGGGAAAAAAAAUCAAGGAAAAGUGCAUUUUUGCAGUUCAGCAAAACGCGGAUCCUGUAAGUUUUUACCUGAUACAGAUUUAAUAGAAGACAGAUCGACCGCAAGCAUGGCCUUUUUUCAUGUACAAUUGGAGCAAACUUCUGCACUGUGUUGCACUUUUGUGAUCCUCUGCUGCCAUCUUGUGACUGAAAGCAAACCUCCCAGCAUGCUUUUGUUCAUCCAGCACUGCACCAAUUUGUAAAACCUACAUUGUAUUUUUUUUUUUUUGCUUUGUUUUCAUUGAGACAGUUUCUAAUCCCUUUCAUUCAGAAAAGAUGGCUUGGCUAACUGUGACUUCAGAUCCCUUAUUUUUAUGUUGCAAGCGCAUGUUUUCUUCGUCACCAAAUUUAAUUUUGCUUCAAGAAUUUUCUCGAUCGAUUCUUACAUCAGCUGCUUUAGUCAUUUCUUCAUGUCAGAAUUUAUAACUGUAAAGAAGAAGGAGGGUAAAUAAAAGUUGCAUAAAGACGGAUUUAUCAGUUUGCCUUGUUUGUUUUCACAUCACACAUGCUUUUUGUAAUUAUGUGUGUUGUAUAAACCACUUUGCGCUGCGUAAAAAGCACUUUGAGACUCUCAAAAACAACAUUGCCAUGUGAAUACAAGAAGACCUAAUGAGAGCAGAUGAGCCAGGUGCACAUUCACUCAGCAAACUGCAGCUGAACGUAUUGUGUUCCUCUGAUCUACGCAAUCUUCACUUGACUUAAUGUUAACGCCUCAUGGGAGGAAAACUUGUGUGUCUUUCAGAACUGAUUGCUGAUUCUGAUGAUAAUGCAGAUGUUUGCUGCAGUCUGCAGGAAAAAAAAUGUUCCACUGCAUUG